GCUGGCGGCAGGCCUAACACAUGCAAGUCGAACGCUCGUAGCAAUACGGGAGUGGCAGACGGGUGAGUAACGCGUGGGAACGUACCUUUCGGUUCGGAAUAACCCGGGGAAACUCGGGCUAAUACCGGAUACGUCCGCAAGGAGAAAGAUUUAUCGCCGAAAGAUCGGCCCGCGUCGGAUUAGCUAGUUGGUGAGGUAACGGCCCACCAAGGCGACGAUCCGUAGCUGGUCUGAGAGGAUGAUCAGCCACACUGGGACUGAGACACGGCCCAGACUCCUACGGGAGGCAGCAGUGGGGAAUAUUGGACAAUGGGCGAAAGCCUGAUCCAGCCAUGCCGCGUGAGUGAAGAAGGCCUUAGGGUUGUAAAGCUCUUUCAGCGGGGAAGAUAAUGACGGUACCCGCAGAAGAAGUCCCGGCUAACUUCGUGCCAGCAGCCGCGGUAAUACGAAGGGGACUAGCGUUGUUCGGAAUUACUGGGCGUAAAGCGCGCGUAGGCGGAUCGCUAAGUCAGGGGUGAAAUCCCAGGGCUCAACCCUGGAACUGCCUUUGAUACUGACGAUCUGGAGAUCGGGAGAGGUUGGUGGAAUUCCGAGUGUA
rnacentral:rRNA from 1 species